rnacentral:rRNA from 1 species
UACGUAGGGUGCGAGCGUUAAUCGGAAUUACUGGGCGUAAAGCGUGCGCAGGCGGCUCCGCAAGUCAGGCGUGAAAUCCCCGGGCUCAACCUGGGAAUGGCGCUUGAAACUGCAGAGCUAGAGUGUGGCAGAGGGAGGUAGAAUUCCACGUGUAGCAGUGAAAUGCGUAGAUAUGUGGAGGAAUACCGAUGGCGAAGGCAGCCUCCUGGGCCAACACUGACGCUCAUGCACGAAAGCGUGGGGAGCAAACAGG